rnacentral:tRNA from 1 species
GUUUUAAUAAUUUAAAUAAAAAUAUUGGUCUUGUAAACCAAAAUUGAAUAUAUUCUUAAAACU